GACGAACGCUGGCGGCGUGCCUAAUACAUGCAAGUCGAACGCAUUUUCUUUCACCGUAGCUUGCUACACCGAAAGAAAAUGAGUGGCGAACGGGUGAGUAACACUUGGGUAACCUGCCCAUCAGCGGGGGAUAACACUUGGAAACAGGUGCUAAUACCGCAUAAUUCCAUUUACCGCAUGGUAAAUGGAUGAAAGGCGCUUUUGCGUCACUGAUGGAUGGACCCGCGGUGCAUUAGCUAGUUGGUGGGGUAACGGCCUACCAAGGCUGCGAUGCAUAGCCGACCUGAGAGGGUGGUCGGCCACACUGGGACUGAGACACGGCCCAGGCUCCUACGGGAGGCAGCAGUAGGGAAUCUUCGGCAAUGGACGCAAGUCUGACCGGGCAACGCCGCGUGAGUGAAGAAGGUUUUCGGAUCGUAAAACUCUGUUGUUAGAGAAGAACAAGGAUGAGAGUGGAAAGUUCAUCCCUUGACGGUAUCUAACCAGAAAGCCACGGCUAACUACGUG
rnacentral:rRNA from 1 species